rnacentral:rRNA from 1 species
GACGAACGCUGGCGGCGUGCCUAAUACAUGCAAGUAGAACGCUGAAGCGAGGAGCUUGCUCUUCUUGGAUGAGUUGCGAACGGGUGAGUAACGCGUAGGUAACCUGCCUUGUAGCGGGGGAUAACUAUUGGAAACGAUAGCUAAUACCGCAUAACAAUGGAUGACACAUGUCAUUUAUUUGAAAGGGGCAAUUGCUCCACUACAAGAUGGACCUGCGUUGUAUUAGCUAGUAGGUGAGGUAACGGCUCACCUAGGCGACGAUACAUAGCCGACCUGAGAGGGUGAUCGGCCACACUGAGACUGAGACACGGCCCAGACUCCUACGGGAGGCAGCAGUAGGGAAUCUUCGGCAAUGGGGGCAACCCUGACCGAGCAACGCCGCGUGAGUGAAGAAGGUUUUCGGAUCGUAAAGCUCUGUUGUAAGUCAAGAACGAGUGUGAGAGUGGAAAGUUUACACUGUGACGGUAGCUUACCAGAAAGGGACGGCUAACUACGUG